CCGGCGCUGCCCGCUCGCCCACAGGCACACGCUGAAGCACACGGCCGGGCAGCACCGCCCGGUCCCAACUCGGAACUCGGUCACCACGUAUGCCUAGCUAACUGCACCGCCUUUGGAAAUCCUUCAGGCCACAUCCCAAAAGCAGAUACGCUGACUGAUUGCUGACGUAGAAAUUCCACUCUUUUAACGCAGAAACGGAGCACCGAUAGGUUCCUACAGAGCCACCUUUGGAACAGAAGAGAUCACAUUGAUGUUAAAGAAACAUAACAAUUAACCUUUGCAGAUCAUUAUUCCAGCAUAGCAAUAUUAUCAGGUGUUUCUGCCUUUUUUGCCUCUUAUCUCCCUCUACGCCAUGCACAUACUACAGAUAAAAUCUGCUCUUUGAUCUCACCUCACAAUUUAUUCCUUCUGAAUCCUCUCCUCCCUAUACACAUAGGGGACUAUUAGCAAGAUGGAGUUGUUUCAGGAAAUGGAGGAAAAAUGGAGGAAAACCAUUUAAUGCUGAUGAAACUGCUAAUUUCAUCAGUAAUGCCUUUCCAACACUAUAGCCUUAGAAUAAUGUCAGUAGCUCAGGGAGACAUCAGCACAAGGGUGCUCAAAAACUCCACUUGUUUGUGGAACACUUGCACUGGGGGCAAGAACACUUAUUUUAUUACAGAGAAUUUCAAAGCAGCAAAGCUCCUGUAGACGUCUUCCAGAAUGAUCUACAAGAGCCAGUAGAUACUACUGCGCAAAGUAGACUCUAGGCUAGACACAACCAGUGCAGGGUCAGCAAGUGUGGUAUUUCUGAGGCAGAGGACAAAGUGGACACAUCUGUGCUUAUUUCAGAGGCACGUAAUCACAUCAGGUUCUCAAGUUGCCACAACUCCUCUGUAGCUUACUUGAAACUGUACCUAUGUUCUCAAGUGCUGGAAAGGACAUGGUGAACAGAGGGGAAAGUAGAGUACUCCACAUACCUAGAGAAUAAUUUAGGAGAAUACCACCACAAAACUAGACAAUGCUCCCACGUGGUGGUCAAGGAAAGCAGCUCAAGUCAGUUGGUUCUGAAUGGUGACAAAAGGCAGUCAGGCAAAAUUCUGGACAUGUAGCCAUUUCACGUGUAUCUUUAACAGCAGAGUAACCAGUUGCUGCACAAACCUAGUUUAAGCUUAUCCAGGCAACAAGCACAGAACAAUGGGGACAUGUGUGCAGUAUCUCACAGAAAACUCCCAGAGCAAACAUACCACCAAAGCUUAGCCUAGAAAAAAGCAAAAAGGAAAUCUACUGAUCUUAACCUGUUCUUCAAAUACAUACAAGUGUAUUAACUUUGCACGUGGCUAAUUGGACUUCAGUGUUUUUAUAACCCACAAGUCAGACUACAACCAUAAGGGGGAACACCCAAAACAACACAUGCAGACGCUUCCCAUGAUUAAGAGUCACUCGAAUGGUGGAAGUGCCAUACAUUGCUGGUGGAUAUAGACAUCCCAUGCGGCAGUGAGCGGGUGCACACAGACAGAACGCCAAGAGGUCUGACAGUGAGCCAAGCUACCAGGAGAAAGCAAGCAAGAAAGAGCAGAGAGCUGAAGGUUAAGAUCUGAGGCAAGCUGUGACAAGGGACACCCUACAACACCAAGGCAACUAGAAGGGAGGACAGUGUGGCAGAUAAGCUUGUAACUACCUCCUGAGACAGGAGGAUGGAUGCUUUUCCUGUGUCGUGCUUACAUGAAUUCAGGUAAGCUCAAUUGUGCUAACAGGUCGUGUGCCUCUUGGAUGCAAUAAUUCCUUUAAUGCUGCUCACUCAUCACUGCUAAUUUAUAUGUUGUAAAAAUUGAAUUACAGCAUUAGCUUUUUCUGGACACGAAAGAAAAGGACAUCUGAGGACAGACAUGCAGAUCAGAUCAAUGGGGUAAGACAGAUUAUGUUCAUUAGCACUGUCCCAAACUUCUGGGUGCUUACCUAAGGCAGAAGUAUUUGCUUCCAUGCAUUUCUUUUUCUUUCUUUUUUUUUUUUUUUUUUUUUUCUCCUCCUAGCUGAAAACAUGGCCUGGGCAGGUAACUGAGAACUCCAGCCGGUGUUUGGGACUUAAGCUAUAUAGUAGCCAGCCAUGAGCAGUGGCUCCAGCUGAACUGUUUCUUGCCUGGAAAUAGCAUGCAAAACGCCACUGGGCAUGCACAGAUAAACUCUACGGCAUUUCCUCACCAGCUUUGACACAGUGGUGUAUGCUUUCCUGAUGUGUUGCACUGACUGUAAAGAUCAAUUGCAACUACAGAACAAGUCACGUUAUUGGAAAAAUUCUGGCGCAGUAAGAGCAUUCACAAAAGCUUGUUUCAGUACAAUUAGAUUGCUUUACUUCGUCUAUCCAGGCGGCAAUUUAGAGAAUGGGGAAUUCAAUUCUAGGAUGGAUUGCUGUUCAAAACCACCUGUCUCUACUUUGGGACAGUUACAAAGGCAGACUUUGCAACCCUUUUCUCUGCAUCUUCCAACCACUGCGUUUAUGUGUGUGUAUAUAUUUUUUGCUAUUAAAUAUUUUAGCUUUUUACAUACAGCAGUAGCAAAAAGCCUGAAAUUUAGGACUUGAGUAUUCUCAUGUUGUGGAAUUUUUUUUUUUUUUCAAUUUCUCCCUCUAAGAACUCUCCUCAAAAUGUGACAGCCCUCUUAAAAUCUUGUUCUUAUCCAGCUUUCUCAAUUAAGCAUGCAUAUUAAACAUUUUUGAUUUGCA